rnacentral:rRNA from 1 species
GACGAACGCUGGCGGCGUGCCUAAUACAUGCAAGUAGAACGCGCAGUUUAUACCGUAGCUUGCUACACCAUAGACUGUGAGUUGCGAACGGGUGAGUAACGCGUAGGUAACCUGCCUGGUAGCGGGGGAUAACUAUUGGAAACGAUAGCUAAUACCGCAUAAUAUUAAUUAUUGCAUGAUAAUUAAUUGAAAGGUGCAAUUGCACCACUACCAGAUGGACCUGCGUUGUAUUAGCUAGUAGGUGAGGUAACGGCUCACCUAGGCGACGAUACAUAGCCGACCUGAGAGGGUGAUCGGCCACACUGGGACUGAGACACGGCCCAGACUCCUACGGGAGGCAGCAGUAGGGAAUCUUCGGAAAUGGACGAAAGUCUGACCGAGCAACGCCGCGUGAGUGAAGAAGGUUUUCGGAUCGUAAAGCUCUGUUGUAAGAGAAGAACGGGUGUGAGAGUGGAAAGUUCACACUGUGACGGUAUCUUACCAGAAAGGGACGGCUAACUACGUG